AUUGAACGCUGGCGGCAGGCCUAACACAUGCAAGUCGAGCGAGCGGCGGACGGGUGAGUAAUGUAUGGGGACUGCCCGAUAGAGGGGGAUCACUACUGGAAACGGUAGCUAAUACCGCAUACUAUCGGAUAACCCAGAUGGGAUUAGCUCGUAGGUGAGGUAAUGGCUCACCUAGGCGACGAUCCCUAGCUGGUCUGAGCGGAUUAUCAGCCACACUGGGACUGAGACACGGUCCAGACUCCUACGGAGGCAGCAGUGGGGAAUAUUGCACAAUGGGCGCAAGCCUGAUGCAGCCAUGCCGCGUGUAUGAAGAAGGCCCUAGGGUUGUAAAGUACUUUCAGUCGGGAGGCGUUACCGACAGAAGAAGCACCGGCUAACUCCGUGCCAGCAGCCGCGGUAAUUC
rnacentral:rRNA from 1 species